rnacentral:rRNA from 1 species
UGCCCGAGAGUGGGGGAUAACGAGGCGAAAGCUUUGCUAAUACCGCAUACGAUCUCAGGAUGAAAGCAGGGGACCGCAAGGCCUUGCGCUCACGGAGCGGCCGAUGGCAGAUUAGGUAGUUGGUGGGAUAAAAGCUUACCAAGCCGACGAUCUGUAGCUGGUCUGAGAGGACGACCAGCCACACUGGGACUGAGACACGGCCCAGACUCCUACGGGAGGCAGCAGUGGGGAAUUUUGGACAAUGGGCGCAAGCCUGAUCCAGCCAUGCCGCGUGCAGGAUGAAGGCCUUCGGGUUGUAAACUGCUUUUGUACGGAACGAAAAGACUCCUUCUAAUAAAGGGGGUCCAUGACGGUACCGUAAGAAUAAGCACCGGCUAACUACGUGCCAGCAGCCGCGGUAAUACGUAGGGUGCGAGCGUUAAUCGGAAUUACUGGGCGUAAAGCGUGCGCAGGCGGUUAUAUAAGACAGAUGUGAAAUCCCCGGGCUCAACCUGGGAAC